UUGGAGUACUGCAAAGCCGGAGCUGAUUCCGUGCCGUGAAGGCAUCUCCGCCUGUUUCCUCAGGGAAGCCGAGCAUGUGUACAGUUUUAUUUACAUUAACCCCAGCUUGCCGCCAGUUUACGGACCUUUAAGUUAACUACGGUGAGCUGUAAAGGACGAGGAAUGGCAGGCCUUUGGAGAGGCUACCAGGCCUUGAUGACUAAAUACCCCUGGACAGUCCAGAUAGUGACAGCGGGGUCUUUAGUGGGUGUCGGUGAUGUCAUCUCCCAGCAGCUGAUCGAGAGGAGAGGAUUGGCUAACCACAACGUGCAGAGGACGGCUAAGAUGAUGAGUAUUGGUUUCUUCUUUGUGGGCCCUGUCAUCGGCAGCUGGUACAAGGUUUUGGACCGACUGGUUGUUGGAGGAACCAAAAGUGCUGCUAUGAAGAAAAUGCUGGUUGACCAGCUGUGUUUUGCGCCGUGCUUUCUGGGAGCCUUCCUCUGUAUCUCUGGUGCGCUGAAUGGACUGACAGUCGAGGAGAACGUCACCAAGCUCAGGAGGGACUACACAGAUGCCCUGAUCUCUAAUUACUAUCUUUGGCCUCCAGUCCAGAUUGCCAAUUUCUACUUCAUUCCUCUGCACCACAGGUGAGAGUUUGAUGGCUUCAUUAGCAUGCAAGCAGUGAGCUCUGAUCAUAUUUGAAGGCUGGCUGUCGUCCAGGUCGUUGCUGUUGCUUGGAACUCCUACCUGACCUGGAAGGCCAAUAAGAUGUGAAGGACGCUCACAAGUCCAGCCUGUGUCGUUCUCGCUGAUGAUUACUUUGCACUCAUUCGUAGUGCGUGUGACAUGGGCGUAACUUACUUUAGGCUACUUAGUCUGCUGGUAUUUCCAAUGUGUAAAGCUGUGACUGAGUCACGCGUAAAGGUCGGGAGAAACGGCUCGUCUACUCCGACUGACAAAUUCACACUUGAAAGUCAAACUUGCAUUUGCAGAAAUGUCUGUGAAAGUUUGUUAUUUAUGGAAAUGGGAUUUGGCGGUGGUGCUGCAGUGCAUCCACACAUACACACUCAUACAUUAACACCUAUUGCUCACAAAGGAAACUUUUCUGAUCUCUUUAGUGUAUUGACAUCAUUGUUUUUGUACUAUGUGUAGUUUUUUUUUCCAAUAAUGGACUUUUAGUCAGAUAUUUUAAGUGCAUUCCAGAGUUUCUAAUAAUGUGAUUUUAGUUUACAUAGUUGCGUUUUUUUUACUUUGUCUAAACCUGCCUCGUCUUUUACUUCAUUUUCCUGAAUUUGACAGAUGAAGAGGUCAAAACUCCUGCAGCAUUUACAAAGCUGCAUUACUGGAUUAAAUUGAUUUAGCUUGGGGCCUUUUUUUUUUAUUAUUUCUUUAAAAAAAAAAAAUCAGAGUAAUGACGUUUUUCUACAUUCGAGAAGUGUUACAGCAGAUUUAACAUCUUCAGACUGUCUUCUUUCCUCUGUGAAGCUUGCAAGCAGGUGAGGUUGUGUCAACCAUCUCUACUCUUCUUUUACAUUUGACAGAUCUCAGGAAAAAUCUGAUAUAAAUGGACAAGAUGCCACAUUUUGUUUUUACUCAGAUUACACCAUCCCUUAUCUGCUUUGAUUUUAUUUUGUCGGUCAAGGUUCCUGUGGUUAAAGUACCUAACCUAACAUCAUGGCUAUGUAAAGAAAAGGCCUUGAGUUUGCAGAGUUGAAUGAUACAAGCUCAAUAUGUCUCUGGUGUCUGCAACCACCAAGCUUAUCCUAUUUUAAAGGCUGGAAACAGAAAACAGUUAACUGGAAGUUGUGGUCAGAUGUUUAUGCUCAGAUUUACAUACUUGCUUUAAAAUCGUGGUUGUUAGUAAGGCAGCUGUUUACUCCUGUUUCCAGUCUUUUAUUGGGUUGGCUAUCACUGUGGUCCAGUGGUUCACACUGCUGCUGCCUCACCCCAAUAAAGCGUUUCUGCCCCUGUAGGUUUUCCGCAUUAUAUUGAAAAGUACAAUAGACCCUACAAUACUACAGAGAAGAAAUGAUUGUAAAUUGGAUUUGGUUCUGAAUUCAAAAUAAAGUGCAUAGAAUAAACCAUUGUAUAAACGCGUGUUUGCUUCCUGUAGUCUAAAGCACUUUGAGUGUUCAGUAAGGACAGAAAACUGCUAUGCAAGUGCAAAUACAUUAAUGCAACACUAACAUAACGUGUCAUAAAAACACGAGUGAGAUCAGUCUUCUCUCUGCGAGGACAGUCAUAUUUACUCAGAUGUCAAACUGUUCCUUUAACAGUCAGCGUCACAUUUUUUCUGUCAAACUAGCUGCUGAAGAGUCACCACUAAUCCACAACAUAACCCAGGAUCAUGCUAGUGCUGCAUUCCCCUUUUUCAGGACAUGAAGAAUCGUUAUAUCCAUAAUGUGCACAUUUUUGAUAAAUAAAGGUCACGUCUGGUGUAAGAGCUAAUAAAGUUUUACACGAGUUGA